rnacentral:rRNA from 1 species
UUAAGCGGACCGCCUGGGGAGUACGGCCGCAAGGUUAAACCUCAAAUGAAUUGACCGGGGCCCGCACAAGCGGUGGAGCAUGUGGUUUAAUUCGAUGCAACGCGAAGAACCUUACCUGGUCUUGACAUCCAGAGAAUCCUGCAGAGAUGCGGGAGUGCCUUCGGGAACUCUGAGACAGGUGCUGCAUGGCUGUCGUCAGCUCGUGUUGUGAAAUGUUGGGUUAAGUCCCGCAACGAGCGCACCCCUUAUCC